GACGAACGCUGGCGGCGUGCCUAAUACAUGCAAGUCGAACGCAGUGGGGACGGGUGAGUAACACGUGGGUAACCUCCCAUCAGAGGUGAUAACACUUGGAAACAGGUGCUAAACCGAUACUGAUGGUGUGUCCCGCGGUGCAUUAGCUAGUUGGUGAGGUAACGGCCCACCAAGGCCACGAUUCAUAGCCGACCGGAGAGGGUGAUCGGCCACACUGGGACUGAGACACGGCCCAGACUCCUACGGGAGGCAGCAGUAGGGAAUCUUCGGCAAUGGACGAAAGUCUGACCGAGCAACGCCGCGUGAGUGAAGAAGGUUUUCGGAUCGUAAAGCUCUGUUGUUAAGGAAGCGGUACUUAACCAGAAAGGGACGGCUAACUACGUGCCAGCAGCCGCGGUAAUUC
rnacentral:rRNA from 1 species